rnacentral:rRNA from 1 species
CUACGGGAUGCACCAGUGGGGAAUAUUGCACAAUGGGCGAAAGCCUGAUGCAGCGACGCCGCGUGGAGGAUGAAGGUCUUCGGAUUGUAAACUCCUGUUAAGUGGGAAGAAAUCUUUGCAGUUAAUAUUUGCAGAGGAUGACGGUACCACUAGAGAAAGCUCCGGCUAACUUCGUGCCAGCAGCCGCGGUAAUACGAAGGGAGCAAGCGUUAUUCGGAAUUACUGGGUGUAAAGGGCGCGUAGGCGGUUAAUUAAGUCAGCUGUCAAAUUCCUUGGCCUAACCAAGGGUCGGCAGUUGAUACUGGUUGACUAGAGGGCAAGAGAGAGAAGUGGAAUUCUCGGAGUAGCGGUAAAAUGCGUAGAUCUCGAGAGGAACACCAGUUGCGAAGGCGGCUUCUUGGCUUGUCCCUGACGCUAAAGCGCGAAAGCGUGGGGAGCAAACAGGAUUAGAUACCCUCGUAGUC